AACGAACGCUGGCGGCGUGGCUAACCCAUGCAAGUCGCGCGCGAACGAACCCUUCGGGGUCUUAUUAGCGCGGCGGAACGGUGAGUAAUGUAUGGGCAACGUACCCUGGGCACGAGGAUAGACCAUCGAAGGGUGGCGUAAUACUCGAGAGACCACACGGGGGCAUCCCCGAGCGGUCAAAGGGCGGGGACCCCUUCGGGGGCCUGCCGGCCCGGGAGCGACCCAUAUCCCAUCAGCUUGUUGGUAGGGUAACGGCCUACCAAGGCAACGACGGGUAGCCGGACUGAGAGGUCGACCGGCCACAUUGGGACUGAGACACUGCCCAGACUCCUACGGGAGGCUGCAGGGACGAAUAUUCCGCAAUGGGCGAAAGCCUGACGGAGCGACGCCGCGUGUGGGAAGAAGCCUUUCGGGGUGUAAACCACUGUCAGGGCCACCAAGCAAAUCCGCCUAAUACGCGGAGGCGUUGAGGAACCCCAAAGGAAGCCACGGCUAACUCCGUGCCAGCAGCCGCGGUAAGACGGAGGUGGCAAGCGUUGUUCGGAAUCACUGGGCUUAAAGAGCACGUAGGCGGCCUGCCAAGCGUCUUGUGAAAUCCCUCGGCUCAACCGAGGAAUUGCUCGGCGAACUGGCGGACUUGAGGCAAGUAGAGGCGCGUGGAACUCUUGGUGGAGCGGUGAAAUGCGUAGAUAUCAAGAGGAACGCCGGCGGCGAAAGCGACGCGCUAGGCUUGUUUGAGGUUCCAGAUGCGAUUCGUCGCAAAUGGGGUCUCUUCUGACGCUGAGGUGCGAAAGCUAGGGUAGCGAACGGGAUUAGAUACCCCGGUAGUCCUAGCCGUAAACGAUGUCCACUAGGCUGGGGGUUCUUUGACGGAGUCCCGGCCGAAGCUAAAGUAUUAAGUGGACCGCCUGGGGAGACGGUCGCAAGGCU
rnacentral:rRNA from 1 species